rnacentral:rRNA from 1 species
AUUGAACGCUGGCGGCAGGCCUAACACAUGCAAGUCGAACGGUAACAGGAAACAGCUUGCUGUUUCGCUGACGAGUGGCGGACGGGUGAGUAAUGUCUGGGAAACUGCCUGAUGGAGGGGGAUAACUACUGGAAACGGUAGCUAACACCGCAUAACGUCGCAAGACCAAAGAGGGGGACCUUCGGGCCUCUUGCCAUCGGAUGUGCCCAGAUGGGAUUAGCUGGUAGGUGGGGUAACGGCUCACCUAGGCGACGAUCCCUAGCUGGUCUGAGAGGAUGACCAGCCACACUGGAACUGAGACGCGGUCCAGACUCCUACGGGAGGCAGCAGUGGGGAAUAUUGCACAAUGGGCGCAAGCCUGAUGCAGCCAUGUCGCGUGUAUGAAGAAGGCCUUCGGGUUGUAAAGUACUUUCAGCGGGGAGGAAGGGAGUAAAGUUAAUACCUUUGCUCAUUGACGUUACCCGCAGAAGAAGCACCGGCUAACUCCGUGCCAGCCGCCGCCGUAA